UGAGGAAUAUUGGGCAAUGGAGGCAACUCUGACCCAGCCAUGCCGCGUGCAGGAAGACGGCCCUAUGGGUUGUAAACUGCUUUUAUAGAGGAAGAAACCCCACCACGUGUGGUGGGCUGACGGUACUCUACGAAUAAGGACCGGCUAACUCCGUGCCAGCAGCCGCGGUAAUACGGAGGGUCCAAGCGUUAUCCGGAAUCAUUGGGUUUAAAGGGUCCGUAGGCGGGCAAUUAAGUCAGAGGUGAAAUCCCACAGCUCAACUGUGGAACUGCCUUUGAUACUGGUUGUCUUGAGUUAUAUUGAAGUGAGUAGAAUAUGUAGUGUAGCGGUGAAAUGCUUAGAUAUUACAUAGAAUACCGAUUGCGAAGGCAGCUCACUAAGUAUAUACUGACGCUGAUGGACGAAAGCGUGGGGAGCGAACA
rnacentral:rRNA from 1 species